AAGCAGCAAAACAGAGAAAAGACGAGAAUCAUGGAGAUUCCUUCGAUCUGAACAACUCUGAGAGGGGAAGCAACCUCUUCUGUCGCUGCCACCUGAAGAAAGGAUCUUGCCACCGCUGUACAAUCAACAAAACAAAACCAAAUUUUCACAAAGAAGAAAAACAAACGCAUUCAAAAUUACAGAUAAAAUACAGAUAGAGAAUUGUACGAACGGGUUGCCAUGUUGUAAUUUCACGGAGAGAGCAAAAUAAGAGGAGAGACAGAGCAAUAGUAUAAGAUGGGAAGCUUUGUCUCUCUCGGGUGCGGAGGAACCUCUGUGUAUAGUGAAUGUGAAGAUGAUUGCUAAACCCUAGAUGUCUUUUUUUGGUAAUUAG
rnacentral:lncRNA from 1 species